GGUCCCCGCUGCAGCCCUCAGGUCCCCCCUGCAGCCCCUAGGUCCUUCCUGCAGCCCUCUGCUUCCUGUGUCCCAGGCUGCGAGUAAGCAGCAGGCACCAAGCUCUCCGAGUCCUGUCCCCUCCACAUACCCCUGUGCACUGUCCCCGCCCUGCCGACUCCCCCUCAGAUGGCACCUGAUGGUGGGAGCCCCUGUGGCCCUGGCCGCAGCUCCCCUCAGUGUCAGCCACCGGCUUCUGUCUCCUUUCACUCACUUGGUGAAGUUGCCUGAGUCGGCCCGAAGCAGCCUGCAGCUCCUUGGUCUACGCAGAAGGGCUGGCUGCGCACGCCAGCGAUCCGGGAAGCUCUGAGGUCUUUAGGCAGCAGCCGCACUCAAUAAUAGGUGGGCUAUGUGCCAACAAGGCCAACAAACGGAGCGGCCCCAUCUACUCCACUGGGACCGGAAGAAACUGCACAGCCAGUCCUGACUAAAGCACAGGCAUGUGUGGGCACGCACACGUGCGUCCACAGAACCACGCUUCUGGGACCAAGAGCUCCACACGGCUUGACUCCGAUUCCGAGUUUCUGCCUCCCUUUCCAGACUCGUUGCACAGGAGCUUCGCGGUGCACCCAACUUCAGUUCCACCCAGUGUGCAGCUCAAGGGCCCCGCCGGGAGAGCAACAGCCUUUCCCAGGCGUAACGAGGAAGGGGAAGAGCACAAAUUUUAUGCUGCUUCUGCUGCUUCUGAAUAUUUCACUUGAACCAAAUAUUAGAAGACUAUUUUUUGACCUUUGGGGGGCAAAAAACCCAGGAGUGUAGACAUCAACCCUUUCAUAAACAUCAUCAUCCAGGAGCAAAUGGCUCCUUAAUUUAAUCAGGAUCUCUUAUUAUCAAAUCAUUGCCUCGGCUGCAGCCCGGCUGAAAACAGGAG